rnacentral:misc_RNA from 1 species
GAUAUAUUAUAAAUUUCAUUUCAUAUUUGUUUAACGAGAAUGAAAAAGAGAUAGAAACUUUAUUAAUUUUAUUGACUGCGAGGCCACAGAUGGGCAAAUACAGCAGCUAGAUAAUGAAGUAGCAGGCCUAACAGUGUGUAAGUAAGGUAGUCUAGUGUAGUGAUUAAGCAUAAGCCUGAGGAUUAGCAAUGAGGUAGGCUUCCACAACCUUGAAAACAGCCAUAGCCUUUUGCUUGCCUUCCUGAACUUGCUCUUCCUCGAUCUCAACACCUGCCUUUGGAUGGAAUUUGCUAACACUGAUCCCCUUACAGCCUCCAUCAGGUGUGGCCUCAAACUUAAUCUCAUAAGCUAUGGAUUCAAUUUUAUCCAUCAACACAUCACCCUCAAUCAACGUGUAGCUGUAUGUCAUUUUCUCUUCGUCUAAUGCAUCAAUCCUAUGCUUCACAUGCGUCAAUCCAGGCCCAGCAUCUUCAGCAAAGGUCAUUUUCUUGAUGCUCCCAGGACCUCCAUUGCCCUGGAUGGUUUCGAUGCUCUUAAAAGCCUGAGGCAUCAGCUUGGGAAUCAGAUUGUCAGCAUCAAGUAUCAAGGCUGUGAAUAGUUUUUUGGCAGCGACAGAGCUAGUGAACUCAUCAGUGAAUGUGACAACAGCCAUGAUUAUUUUUCUACUGUUUCUUUUUUCCCAAUCUAAAAGUGAAGAGAUGAAUACAGAACAAUUGAAAAUCGUAAUAGUUUUGCUGUUGGUUGUG